rnacentral:rRNA from 1 species
UUCGCAAUGCCCGAAAGGGUGACGAAGCGACGCCGCGUGCGGGAAGAAGGCCUUCGGGUUGUAAACCGCUGUCGGGAGUUAAGAAAUGCAGAGAUGUUAAUAGCGUCUUUGCUUGACUAAGGCUCCGGAGGAAGCCACGGCUAACUCUGUGCCAGCAGCCGCGGUAAUACAGAGGCGGCAAGCGUUGUUCGGAAUUAUUGGGCGUAAAGAGCACGUAGGCGGCUAUGUAAGUCGGUUGUGAAAGCCUUCCGGUCAACGGGAGAACAGCAUCCGAUACUGCAUGGCUUGAGUGCGGGAGGGGAGAGUGGAACUUCUGGUGGAGCGGUGAAAUGCGUAGAUAUCAGAAGGAACGCCGGCGGCGAAAGCGGCUCUCUGGCCCAUAACUGACGCUGAGUGUGCGAAAGCUAGGGGAGCAAACGGGAUUAGAUACCCCGGUAGUCCUAGCCGUAAACGAUGGGCACUAAGUAGAGGGGUUUU